rnacentral:tRNA from 1 species
GAGGGUAUCGCUCAGUGCUAGAGCAUAUGCUUAGCAUGCAUGAGGUCCUGGGCUCACUCCUCAGUACCUCCA